GGCCCCGACUGGGACAGCGGUUGGGGCCAGGGAAGGAAGUGUCUAGAAUUAGAGCCGAGAGGGAAGGCCUGCGGUCUCUGGGACUAAUGACCACCCCUCCCAGGUGUCAAGAGAAUGAAGUGGGUCAAUUCCUAGCGGGAGCUCAGCCAGACUGAAUAUG